GCCUUCGUUCAAUUCACUUCAGUUUCCAGUACGGUCUUUACGCCUGACAUACUGCUACUUGCUAAAUGCGCAGACGGACGAAGCGAGCUGGAUGAGCUGCAGAGGUUAUGCUCGGUCAGUCCGGCGCAAGGCUGAACGUCACUCCUGCGAAUGAGCUUCUCAACUCGUCUGUAAGCUCCUUUGUCCUUCCCAUGGUUCUGGUGGUUUAAAAGGAAGAGGUUGAUUCUGUGACGGGUGUCUUUUAUACACAUUUGAUAUUAGGAGCACUUUCCUUAAUGGACAGGACUAAUCUGGCGUGUCGUGACGAAGUGACUUGUGACGAAGCUGCGAAGGCGAACGCUCCCUCGAAAGCUCUAUUCUUUGGCGCCAUCGCACUUCCUGCACUUUUUCAAUGUGAAUCACGUCGUACACAUGAACCGCGUUGUUGUGCAAUGCUUCAACCUGCUUGUACAGAAACGACCCGAGGUCCCGGACGCCGUGUGUCUCGUCGGGAAUAGAAUCGCGGCCGGCUCCUGGCACAGCCAGACCACGGCGUGUGUACAGAGAGGAAGACGAAAGCACGGCUAUAAAUUACAGAGCGACAAGGUAUCAGCAAAUAAAUCACCUCGGGGUGGCCUACACACAGAGAGCAUAAUUCAUUUUGUUCUCUGGAGGUGAGAACAUUUAAGCAGGAGCUUUUCAGUGCUGCAGGAUGGAUUGUGUCUUUUACAACAUUCUUGGUGUUCUAUUAAAGUUUAAUGUCUGCAUUAA